rnacentral:lncRNA from 1 species
UGACCUACUCAUAAUCUUCGUACACAAUUCACCAUAUCCAGAAGACCUCGUACAUAACUUAUUGUCAUGAAUGAGUGUAAACCAAAACAUGGGUUCAUGUGCACAAGAUACCAUGGUGAUCUUAGGUCAUAGGAUCAGUUGCACAACUCCCACUAAGAGAAUCAUCUUUUGACAUGUAAGUAAGACUUCAUAAGAUUUCUCUUUGUAGGUCAAUUCAGUGAACUCAUUCCUCUAAUGAGCAC